AUGUGCACCUCUGAUAUCUAUACUGACUCCACUCUGGUACAUCAUGAGUCGAAGCACAUCGAACGAAGGGGUGUGGAGAAGAGACAUCGAACGGGAGGCGAGAAGGGUGGUGGACCACCGAGCAAGGGCGCUCAACGGCUCUGUCCCUGCCCCAUGGUGGCCGCUCCUCGCAAGGGGAUUAAGGGAGUCAUGAAACAACAGAGGGUUCAGCUCCUUUGCAGUUCGAUUCUUACUGUAUAG
rnacentral:rRNA from 1 species